rnacentral:rRNA from 1 species
UACAGAGGGGGCCAGCGUUAUUCGGAAUUAUUGGGCGUAAAGGGCGCGUAGGCGGAUUUGUCAGUCAGGGGUGAAAUCCCGGGGCUCAACCUCGGAACUGCCUUUGAUACAGCAAGUCUUGAGUUCGAGAGAGGUGGGUGGAAGUUCCUAGUGUAGAGGUGAAAUUCGUAGAUAUUAGGAAGAAACACCGGUGGCGAAGGCGGCCCACUGGCUCGAUACUGACGCUGAGGUGGCG